CCGUCCGGCAUCCUAGGCGGGUCGCUGCGGGACCUCCCUCGUGUCUGUGGCGGUGGGAUCCCGUGGCCGUGUUUUCCUGGUGGCCCUGCC
rfam:Gorilla gorilla gorilla genomic chromosome, chr2B, whole genome shotgun sequence